GAUGUAGGGCGCGAGCGUUGUCCGGAUUUAUUGGGCGUAAAGAGCUCGUAGGCGGCUUGUUGCGUCAGCUGUGAAAACCCGCAGCUCAACUGUGGGCUUGCAGCUGAUACGGGCAGGCUAGAGUUCGGUAGGGGAGACUGGAAUUCCUGGUGUAGCGGUGAAAUGCGCAGAUAUCAGGAGGAACACCGAUGGCGAAGGCAGGUCUCUGGGCCGAUACUGACGCUGAGGAGCGAAAGCGUGGGGAGCAAACAGG
rnacentral:rRNA from 1 species